rnacentral:rRNA from 1 species
GAUGAACGCUGGCGGCGUGCUUAACACAUGCAAGUCGAACGGAAAGGCUCCUGCUUGCAGGGGUACUCGAGUGGCGAACGGGUGAGUAACACGUGGGUGAUCUGCCCUGCACUUCGGGAUAAGCCUGGGAAACUGGGUCUAAUACCGGAUAGGACGAUGGUUUGGAUGCCAUUGUGGAAAGUUUUUUCGGUGUGGGAUGAGCUCGCGGCCUAUCAGCUUGUUGGUGGGGUAAUGGCCUACCAAGGCGUCGACGGGUAGCCGGCCUGAGAGGGUGUACGGCCACAUUGGGACUGAGAUACGGCCCAGACUCCUACGGGAGGCAGCAGUGGGGAAUAUUGCACAAUGGGCGCAAGCCUGAUGCAGCGACGCCGCGUGGGGGAUGACGGCCUUCGGGUUGUAAACUCCUUUCGCUAGGGACGAAGCGUAAGUGACGGUACCUGGAGAAGAAGCACCGGCUAACUACGUG